UACAGUGACAUGUGUCCUACAUCAAAUUAUAUACUAUAGUAGAAAGAUUAUGUGUAACUAAAUUGAUUCAUAUAAUUAUUCUUCAAAUGAUAACUUGUCAAUUUUGUCUUACAUCAUCUCUUAAGGCGAAAUAAGAGCCAAACAAUUCUUUUGUUUAUUUAAAAAUAUGAAAAAAAAACUCUUCGAAAAGAUGGGUCCAAACACUUGUCAAUUAUGCAUAUACUCUUCAGAGUUGUGUUAACAUCACUCCCAGAUUUUAGCGUAUGAUCAGAUAACGCUUCAAAGUUCAAACCAACGGUCUCUCGCGCACAAGUAGUCGCAUAUAAAAUACAAAUAUCUAUAUAUAAAUCUAUGGAUAUACCAAAUUAAUUAUGACAUAUAUUCCAAGCAACUAAAAAGAUAAUAAAGGAACCGUUGAAACUCACAAGUCACAAGCCAAUGGAAAUUAAAUAAAAUUUGCGGACACGAGAUUCCACCAAAAAAAAAAAAAAAAAUGUUUACAAGUUUUUUUUUUUUUCUUUUUUUUUGGACAAAAAUGUUUACAAGUUAAGACAUAUCACUAUACAAGUAAAAAUAAUACUUGUAAAACAAAACGUUUGAUUUUGAGUUAUUCAAUCUCGAGUUACAUGUUAAACUAAGAAUUGAUUUGCCGAAUAUAUUAGAAUAUUAAAAUCAUUUUU
rnacentral:lncRNA from 1 species